UGGACCAAUGAUGACAACUGGUGGCGUAUGAGUCAUGAAUGAUGAAUAAUACGUGUCUGGAAGUCUGAGGUCACA
ensembl:snoRNA